AAUAUAAUAGUACCAAUAACAAAACACUACGUUGAAUGACGAAAAAAUGUAUUGACAAUUGACAAGAGAACAGGGACCGGUCUAUGACUUCUGUCAAACGUACAGAGAGUUUGACAAUUGACAUUUGUUUUGCUUGCGCGACCAAACUUGAAUAAAGAUACAACGAAAUCGAAACACACAAAAACUCUUUUAUCCCGUUACAAUUUGUGAUGUGAGACUUCAAGAGAUCCAUGAGAAAUAUGGAGUUUAAAUUCAUCGAUAUUAUUGUGACUAUAUUAAUAAAUUUCGUGUCUUGUGCAUACACGGAUCAUAUCCUGUCCUGCAACAUAAACCAGAUACCUAGCUGCCCGGGGAAUUAUCAAGUUUGUAACGAAACAAUACUUCAAUGUUAUUGCAUUGAAAGGUAUGUUAUGAGUGGAGGUGAUUGUGUGGAGGAAGCUGAUGCAGGAUCAAGCCACGACGCCACAGCGGCUG